rnacentral:rRNA from 1 species
ACACGUAUGGGGCGAGCGUUGUUCGGAAUUAUUGGGCGUAAAGGGCGUGUAGGCGGAUAUGCAAGUCUGAUGUAAAAGACCGCAGCUCAACUGCGGGCAUGCGUUGGAAACUGUAUGUCUUGAAUCCUUGAGGGGGAACUGGAAUUCCUGGUGUAGGGGUGAAAUCUGUAGAUAUCAGGAAGAACACCGGUGGCGAAGGCGAGUUCCUGGCAAGUGAUUGACGCUGAGGCGCGAAAGCGUGGGUAGCAAACAGGAUUAGAUACCCUGGUAGUCCACGCUGUAAACGAUGUGCACUAGGCGUUGGGGUGUUGAAACCUCAGUGCCGGAGCUAACGUGGUAAGUGCACCGCCUGGGGAGUAUGCCGGCAACGGUGAA